GAACCUGUGUAGUGGUUUAAGCACUGGACUACAGCUCUGGAGUUGGGGUUCAAAUCCCCACUUGUCCA